UAACAAAACGGGACAGGGAGAAAAAAUAAAAAUUUAAAAAAAAAAAAAAAAAAAAAAAGAGGGUUGUAAUAUAUGAACGACCAAAAGGAUUGUACUUCAGGGGCUGGAACUUUGAGGUGAUGUGCACUACACUGUACACCAGACCCUUGCCCAGAGCCACCCACAGCAACCGUGGAGCAGGAGCCCAGCACAGCCGAUUGCACUAGAGAUGGAUGGAGCUGCUGGGGCACAGGAGAAUGAGCACAGCUGCCUCUCACACCAGCCUGAGCCUACCAUUCACCACUUCAUUGUGCUUUAGACAGCAAAGGACUCGAGAACAGACAUGCAGGGGCUGCAUAAGGCAACAGGUUGGCCUUGACUGUCCAGCCACAGGAUGAAAACACUCAUUCUUCAGUGGAAGCUUUGCCCCUGUCACGUGAAACUUGUCAGAGAUGUCAAGCACUUCGGUGAGGCUGGCUUUUCUCUGGAACUCCAAGCAGGGGCAGCGUGAUCUAACUUAGCAAUGGGACUCAGCUAAGGCUGGCUGAGGGUCAAGAGUUUGGUGCCUACCUUUCUGUUUUUACUAAGAUUUAUUGUUCAUUGUUGUGAAAGAGACCAAAUGGUUCUCUGCUGUGUUCCCAUCUCCUGGGAAAAAUAAUGGCUCUGGUCAAGCAUCAUUGAUACUGCUGCCUUCCUGAGAAGGGGAGGAUAUAAUGUUUAAAUCUUGUCAAACUUUGCCUUUCCUCUGAUACUUGCAAAAAAACGGUUUGUGGUGCUCUGUUAGCAUAAAUAUUUGCAGUGGUUCCUGCAUGAUUUUCCAGCCCUAAGGGGAGGUCCAGACACGGUGCUGGAUUGAAGAGGCUGAAGUUUGUCAACCACUCCCAUGCUGUUUUCCUAGACCAGUCUGGUGGAAUCAUUUCUGGUCAGAGAAUUUCCGCUGAGAUUCUCCCAUGGGCUCAUGAUGAAAGUAAUCAUCAAGUCAGAAUUAUUUUAGUUGAUAGUGUUUCCUCCCUUGAGGCAGUUUGGUAUUUAACUAACAUGUCAUCUGCUCAGUCAUUUGGAAGUGAACUUGAGAAAGAUGCCUGGGACUGGACCUUGGUCAGAGAUUAAGCUGGAGCUACUGAGACCCCAGGCAGGAUCCAAGAACACCCUGUGUGCAGCCAAACUGCUCCAGCUGUGGCUCCUAUGGUCAUGGAUACUGACUUGGACAGGUGCCUGGUUUCUCUCACCUGGAAUCAUCAAUCGCUGUUGCCUUAAUUGUUCAUCUGGUCACUUAUUCCCUGAUCCUAAAUUCAUUUUACCUGGGGAACAACAGAAGGGGCUGCAGUUUCUUGUUUAGAUUAGGUCUUUUUACAGGUUUUAUAGGCUCAGAUUAUGGGAGCACUUUUAUAUAGGCUCAAGCCAGCUCCUCUGAAAGCUGUAAUCUCUGGCAAGGAAGGAGCAGAGCAUUAAACUUCGUGUCCAGGUUUUACAUCAGCAGCACGUUCAUCCUCUGGCUGUUCCCUUAGAUCCCUGGGGCUGUGUCCCUUGAGCUCUGCCAGUGGCACUGCACAGGCUACAGGCAAGGAAGUAAAACAGCAGAAAGCCUGGGCCACAAUAGACAGAGACCAUGGCUGAGUAUCUGGGUUGGAGAAUCAGGAUACUAGGGAACAGGAAGGAGGCAUUAGGAGCUUUUCCAAGCUUCAUUUGAGAACAACAAUUUAUUCAUUGGCAGGAGAGGGCUGGGCAGGUAGAGCUGCAGCCCCUCCAUGCUGCAGUCAGCAUAUUCCAACAACAAAUUAUGUGGCCAGGGCUGCUGAGAAGCAUCAGAUGUUGCAUUAAACCUUGUGGAAAGCUGUUCUGAACUAUUUCCCUCCGGACCUCCCUGUAAUGAGGCAUUUUAGUAUUAAACUCUGGUCUGUUGUUUAAUAAAGAAAAACAGUUUUGUUAGCCAAAA